rnacentral:rRNA from 1 species
GAUGAACGCUGACAGCAUGCUUAACACAUGCAAGUCCACUUGAACUUCGGUUUGGGUGGCGGACGGGUGAGUAACGCGUAAAGAACUUGCCUCACAGAUAGGGACAACAUUUGGAAACGAAUGCUAAUACCUGAUAUUAUGAUUUUAGGGCAUCCUAGGAUUAUGAAAGCUAUAUGCGCUGUGAGAGAGCUUUGCGUCCCAUUAGCUAGUUGGAGAGGUAACGGCUCACCAAGGCGAUGAUGGGUAGCCGGCCUGAGAGGGUGAUCGGCCACAAGGGGACUGAGACACGGCCCUUACGCCUACGGGAGGCAGGAGUGGGGAAUAUGGGACAAUGGACCAAGAGUCUGAUCCAGCAAUUCUGUGUGCACGAUGAAGUUUUUCGGAAUGUAAAGUGCUUUCAGUUGGGAAGAAAAAAAUGACGGUACCAACAGAAGAAGUGACGGCUAAAUACGUG